GUACUUGCUUUGGCAGCACAUACACUGAAAAUUGGAAUGAUACAGAGAAGAUUAGCAUGGUCCCCUUUUAAGGAUGGCACUCAGUUUUUGAAGCCUUCCAUCAUUUU
ensembl:snRNA U6 U6 spliceosomal RNA